rnacentral:rRNA from 1 species
AUUGAACGCUGGCGGCAUGCUUUACACAUGCAAGUCGAACGGCAGCAUGGGUGCUUGCACCUGAUGGCGAGUGGCGAACGGGUGAGUAACGUAUCGGAACAUGUCCGGAAGUGGGGGAUAACGUAGCGAAAGUUACGCUAAUACCGCAUAUGCCCUGAGGGGGAAAGGAGGGGAUUGCAAGACCUUUCGCUUUCGGAGUGGCCGAUAUCAGAUUAGCUUGUUGGUGAGGUAAAGGCUCACCAAGGCGACGAUCUGUAGCGGGUCUGAGAGGAUGAUCCGCCACACUGGGACUGAGACACGGCCCAGACUCCUACGGGAGGCAGCAGUGGGGAAUUUUGGACAAUGGGGGCAACCCUGAUCCAGCCAUGCCGCGUGAGUGAAGAAGGCCUUCGGGUUGUAAAGCUCUUUCGGACAGAAAGAAAUCGCACUUACUAAUACUGAGUGUGGAUGACGGUACUGUAAGAAGAAGCACCGGCUAACUACGUGCCAGCAGCCGCCGUAAAAC